ensembl:lncRNA SLC44A3-AS1 SLC44A3 antisense RNA 1
CUCUGGAAUAUGAGAAGUGCUCUGAGCCAGGGAAGAAGUACCUGCUCCUCCUACAAGGCCCAGCAGUAUCAGCGACAGAUUAUGCUUUUGCAAAACUAGGUUUACAAUAUCACGAAUAGUUUGCGGGCGGAGAAUAUUUCCACAGAACAGGAAGGAUGAUUUCUUCAGACAGACAAAGUUUUCUGAAGCUCAGAGGGACACCUUGUAUUGCUGGAUGAUAAAAACAGGAGCAAAGUGAUGAAGUGCUGACAAGGCAACAAUAGAACAUGAGAGAUUCACUGCUGUGUAGGAAGAGAUCUUCGGUGACCAUGUAGCCUGAAGCUCUCAUUUUGUCAUCGAGGGACACCAAAACUCAGAACAGAUAGAGUCUUGCUCUGUGACCCAGGCUUGUGUGCAGCGGUACGAUAUUGGCUCACUGCGACCUCCACCUCCCAGGUUCAAGCAAUUCUCCUGCCUCAGCCUCCCAAGUAGCUGGGAUUACAGAUGAGGUCUCCAAGGGACCAGAUGGAGAACAGAUGCAACCACACUGAAGUCAGAAUCGCAGCUUGCCUCCGACACCUGACGCUUCACUGUUGGCGAGGCCCACUAUGCCUCGCUCUCCCCCUGUAAUGAGUUCUAUCCCAGAGGCUCCUAUACCCUUUAGAAAUAAACUGCUCAGGCAGCCCAACCAGUUCAUCCAAGAGGCCUGGAACCACAGCAGCGUCGACAGCUGAGAUGAGAGUUGGUCCCUGAUCUGAUACAGAGCCUGGGUUUAGCUUUGAUUUCUCUCUUCCUAGGCAAGAUCUUUAGAGAAUAACUUUUUGUGCCUGGCCAUCUCCUGCUCUUUUCUCAACCCAAAAGGGCUAUGUUCACCUAAAGAGGAAAAGCAAGAAGGCUUCCUGGGCUCGGGAGGUCAGGGCUGGAAAGAACUGCUCACCAUUUCUGAGCCGAUGAGGACUCACCUGGGCUCCUCACUGGUCAGGGAACUGUGGCCCAGCCGCAGAGUGAUUGCUUUGUCAAGAAGGGAAACAUUUACCUUUCCUUCUUCCCUCUGCUCUCUCCUAAUUAACAAUUAAAUGGAAGGAGUUGAAAAGACAUGUCAGAGACUUCAAUCUCCUCCCGGCCUGAGGAUGAAGGGGGCUCGAACCUGAAUGUUCUCUUCGCUGUGGCCAGAACCUAGGGGGCUGGGGUUGCUGCCAGCUCGACUGGAGGCCUGCUUCCAGCCCCAGGCUGUGGUGAGGGGCCUCACAGAUUUCACAAACAGGAGGGCGGCUGACCAAGCGCCAAACUAUUUAGACAAACACACACCCUCCCUUCCCGCCAGAGUUUGGGCUGAUUUCUCCCAAUGCUAAUGAACAGCUCAUAAGUAUUAAUAGACUCCUUGGCACCUAGGAGUCAGGCAGAGUAACUUCCAGUGUGAAUUUUGGCCAAGGACCCUGAUGCAGCCUCAGGAUCUUCCAAGCCCCUGUUGAGUCCAGGGGGCAUGAGACACACAGGGAGGCUGGGGCUGCUCCCAGGAAGCAGGCUCACAAGAGCCAGACAGGCUCCCACAGACAGCUUUUAGGUCACAGAAACCUCUGCCUGCCAGGAAUGUGCUGGGGCCACAGGCAGGUCAGGCCAGGCUUUCUGGGGAGUGAAUGCUCUCUGCCAGUGGCGGAUGGAACUGGUAGACACGUCCCCCGGAUUCCUCGCCUGCAAGUGGGAUGGUGCCAGGAAAGUUCUACACCAUCCUUCCCAGGUCCCAGGAGGACAAGCACAGUUGUCCACAAGUGUGGAUCAGUGUUAAAAGUGCUUCAUGGAGAAAUGGAGGCCUGAAAGCGACUCUGAAGGAGGAGUGGGGCUCAGCAAACAGCAGACGAGUUUCAAUCCAAGCACCCAUUACCCCCCUAACACACGGCAUACGUGCAUCUCAUCUCCUCCUGUGUCGCUAAGAAGCUACCCAUAUGUCUGUCAUUAAUUCUCCAGAAUCCUUGGACACACCCCUCUGCAGAGCUUUCUAACAGGAAAUACAAGUCUCAGAUUUUUUUUUAAGUUAAAAUUGAGUGCAGCACUCAUACCUUUCUUCGAGCAUGAACCGUCAAUCAACACUGCCUCAUGAGCUACUGCUCUCCUGCUCUUUGAAAAGACAAAUCCUUAUUUCUUUGUAGUGAUCCAGAAGGCAGUGGGAAGAAUGACAGGUGCUUGGUUAUCUUCAAUUUAAUCUCUACCUUUCAAUGGGGCUAGUGCAAGCUAGGGCCAUUUUACUGCACCCAAAGGAAUUUAAGACAUUUCUAUUAUCUCUAAAGAAUCCAGAUUAACAUGCCUUCUUGGUGGGCAGGGAGACCAGCUAUGAAUUCUAGGAUCUCAAUUCAAAUGCUUUUGAAUUCUUCCUGCUUGUUCAGUUAAUUACAUAUAUGUCACCACAAUCUUGCUUUUUUUUUUCUAUGCUUCUAAUUU